rnacentral:rRNA from 1 species
AAUACGGAGUGGCAGACGGGUGAGUAACGCGUGGGAACAUACCCCUCGGUUCGGAAUAACUCAGGGAAACUUGAGCUAAUACCGGAUACGUCCGAGGUUUUGAUCGACCUUGGAGAAGGAUUUAUCGCCGGGGGAUUGGCCCGCGUCUGAUUAGCUUGUUGGUGGGGUAACGGCUCACCAAGGCGACGAUCAGUAGCUGGUCUGAGAGGAUGAUCAGCCACAUUGGGACUGAGACACGGCCCAAACUCCUACGGGAGGCAGCAGUGGGGAAUAUUGGACAAUGGGCGCAAGCCUGAUCCAGCCAUGCCGCGUGAGUGAUGAAGGCCUUAGGGUUGUAAAGCUCUUUUACCCGGGAAGAUAAUGACGGUACCGGGAGAAUAAGCCCCGGCUAACUUCGUGCCAGCAGCC